rnacentral:rRNA from 1 species
UACAGAGGGGGCAAGCGUUAUUCGGAAUUAUUGGGCGUAAAGGGCGCGUAGGCGGCCAUUCAAGUGACGGGUGAAAGCCCUCGGCUUAACCGAGGAACUGCCUGUCAGACUGGAUGGCUUGAGACCGGGAGAGGUGAGUGGAAUUCCCAGUGUAGCGGUGAAAUGCGUAGAUAUCGGGAGGAACACCAGUGGCGAAGGCGGCUUCUGGCCCGUUCUUGACGCUGAGGCGCGAAGGCGUGGGGAGCGAACGGGG